CGAACGCUAAGCACGUGAAGGGAUCCCGGAGCUUACUUUUGGGAGUUAAAACCUGGAAGUGAAACUCGAUGUGGAAUAUGUUUUGUUGGUAUUACACGAGGCUUAAAAUUCGUGUAAUACGGUGCUUGAGGAACUGACGAGAGUUUCUUUGCGUGUUGAAAUUCAAAAGGAAAGAUACCAGCUGAGAUACUGGCACAGGUAAUUUGUCAUCACAGCCUGUUCAAGGUGGAAUUUUGUCUUCAAUUUUUAACCUACUUCCUGAUGAGCUAUCGAAUUCACAUUUUGCACACGUAUUGUUUCUCGAUGACAAUGAAAUGGGAAAUGUCGAGAAGCAAAGAAAUUACCAGAGCGACCGAUUUAAAGGGGAAGGCGUGGGACAUGCCUGUUUACCACUGUUAAACACCAAGUGUCCCCGUUUUCCGUCACCUGUCACCUGCCCCUGUG